UAGGGAGCUUACAUCAUUUACCUCCUCUCACC
rnacentral:piRNA from 1 species